GAACGAUCAAGUGGAGCAAUCCAUGUAGUACAGUGGCGACCGGGUGAGUAACACGUGACUAACCUACCUUCGAGUGGGGAAUAACCUAGGGAAACCUGGGCUAAUACCGCAUAACACCUACGGGUCAAAGGAGCAAUUCGCUUAAGGAGGGGGUCGCGGCAGAUUAGCUAGUUGGCGGGGUAAUGGCCCACCAAGGCAGUGAUCUGUAUCCGGCCUGAGAGGGCGCACGGACACACUGGAACUGAAACACGGUCCAGACUCCUACGGGAGGCAGCAGUGGGGAAUUUUGCGCAAUGGGGGAAACCCUGACGCAGCAACGCCGCGUGGAGGAUGAAGUCCUUCGGGACGUAAACUCCUUUCGAUCGGGACGAUUAUGACGGUACCGGAAGAAGAAGCCCCGGCUAACUUCGUG
rnacentral:rRNA from 1 species